CCUACGGGGUGCAGCAGUGAGGAAUAUUGGUCAAUGGGCGUAAGCCUGAACCAGCCAAGUCGCGUGAGGGAUGAAGGUUCUAUGGAUCGUAAACAGCUUUUAUAAGGGAAUAAAGUGCGGGACGUGUCCCGUUUUGUAUGUACCUUAUGAAUAAGGAUCGACUAACUCCGUGCCAGCAGCCGCGGUAAUACGGAGGAUCCGAGCGUUAUCAGGAUUUAUUGGGUUUAAAGGGUGCGUAGGCGGCCUUUUAAGGCUGCGGUGAAAGUCAGUGGCUCAAACGUAGCAUUGCAGUUGAAACUGGGAGGCUUGAGUAUGUCUGAGGCAGGCGGAAUGCGUGGUGUAGCGGUGAAAUGCUUAGAUAGCACGCAGAACCCCGAUUGCGAAGGCAGCCUGCCAAGCCAUGACUGACGCUGAUGCACGAAAGCGUGGGGAUCAAACAGGAUUAGAUACCCGUGUAGUC
rnacentral:rRNA from 1 species